UGCCUAACACAUGCAAGCCGAACGAACCCUUCGGGGUUAGUGGCGCACGGGUGCGUAACGCGUGGGAAUCUGCCCUUUGCUUCGGAAUAACAGUUAGAAAUGACUGCUAAUACCGGAUGAUGUCUUCGGACCAAAGAUUUAUCGGCAAAGGAUGAGCCCGCGUAGGAUUAGGUAGUUGGUGGGGUAAAGGCCUACCAAGCCGACGAUCCUUAGCUGGUCUGAGAGGAUGAUCAGCCACACUGGGACUGAGACACGGCCCAGACUCCUACGGGAGGCAGCAGUGGGGAAUAUUGGACAAUGGGCGAAAGCCUGAUCCAGCAAUGCCGCGUGAGUGAUGAAGGCCUUAGGGUCGUAAAGCUCUUUUACCCGGGAUGAUAAUGACAGUACCGGGAGAAUAAGCCCCGGCUAACUCCGUGCCAGCAGCCGCGGUAAUACGGAGGGGGCUAGCGUUGUUCGGAAUUACUGGGCGUAAAGCGUACGUAGGCGGUUAUUCAAGUCAGAGGUGAAAGCCCGGGGCUCAACCCCGGAACGGCCUUUGAAACUAGGUAGCUAGAGUCUUGGAGAGGUCAGUGGAAUUCCGAGUGUAGAGGUGAAAUUCGUAGAUAUUCGGAAGAACACCAGUGGCGAAGGCGA
rnacentral:rRNA from 1 species